rnacentral:rRNA from 1 species
GACGAACGCUGGCGGCGUGCUUAACACAUGCAAGUCGAACGGAAAGGCCCUGCUUUUGUGGGGUGCUCGAGUGGCGAACGGGUGAGUAACACGUGAGUAACCUGCCCUUGACUUUGGGAUAACUUCAGGAAACUGGGGCUAAUACCGGAUAGGAGCUCCUGCUGCAUGGUGGUGGUUGGAAAGUUUCGGCGGUUGGGGAUGGACUGGCGGCUUAUCAGCUUGUUGGUGGGGUAGUGGCUUACCAAGGCUUUGACGGGUAGCCGGCCUGAGAGGGUGACCGGCGACAUUGGGACUGAGAUACGGACCAGACUCCUACGGGAGGCAGAAGUGGGGAAUAUUGCACAGUGGGCGGAAGCCUGAUGCAGCAACGCCGCGUGCGGGAUGAUGGCCUACGGGUUGUAAACCGAUUUCGAAGGUGACGAAGAGUGAGUGACGGUAAUGGGUAAAGAAGCAACGGCUAACUACGUG